rnacentral:rRNA from 1 species
UACGAAGGGGGCUAGCGUUGCUCGGAAUCACUGGGCGUAAAGGGUGCGUAGGCGGGUAUUUAAGUCAGGGGUGAAAUCCUGGAGCUCAACUCCAGAACUGCCUUUGAUACUGAGUAUCUUGAGUACGGGAGAGGUGAGUGGAACUGCGAGUGUAGAGGUGAAAUUCGUAGAUAUUCGCAAGAACACCAGUGGCGAAGGCGGCUCACUGGCCCGGUACUGACGCUGAGGUGCGAAAGCGUGGGGAGCAAACAGG